rnacentral:rRNA from 1 species
UUUAAGGGUGCGUAGGCGGCCUAUUAAGUCAGGGGUGAAAUACGGUGGCUCAACCAUCGCAGUGCCUUUGAUACUGAUGGGCUUGAAUCCAUUUGAAGUGGGCGGAAUAAGACAAGUAGCGGUGAAAUGCAUAGAUAUGUCUUAGAACUCCGAUUGCGAAGGCAGCUCACUAAGCUGGUAUUGACGCUGAUGCACGAAAGCGUGGGGAUCGAACAGGAUUAGAUACCCUGGUAGUCCACGCCCUAAACGAUGAUAACUCGAUGUUGGCGAUAGACAGCCAGCGUCCAAGCGAAAGCGUUAAGUUAUCCACCUGGGGAGUACGCCCGCAAGGGUGAAACUCAAAGGAAUUGACGGGGGCCCGCACAAGCGGAGGAGCAUGUGGUUUAAUUCGAUGAUACGCGAGGAACCUUACCCGGGCUUGAAAGUUAGUGAAGAGUGCAGAGACGCACUCGUCCUUCGGGACACGAAACUAGGUGCUGCAUGGCUGUCGUCAGCUCGUGCCGUGAGAUGUUGGGUUAAGUCCCGCACG